AUGGUUACCCUUACAAAAACACUGACUUUGUUUCUCAAAUACAGUAAGUGCUUUUUGUUGGGGUAGUUUUG
rnacentral:pre_miRNA from 1 species